AAAUGAUCUACCGACUCCUCUGGGAGCAGAGCUAGGGACGUGCGCGGCCGAUGCCAAUUUGGUGUUUGAGCGUCAAAUCCCGCAUCUGAUGAGCUGGAAAAAGUGCAUCACCGAGGCCCCCAUCACGCCACCCCCGCCUCAGAAGAUGCGUCGAGCGGCAAAGAGCAAAAAUGCAAACAGGUGUUGUGUCGCGCCGACGUCCCCCUCCCCGUCGAAAUGCGCGUCUAUUCUGUGAUUUACGGCAGCAUUUAAAGAGAUGGUGCAUUCAAAGUAAGCCGGAUAUUGGGGGACUCUACAUUAAAACGCCUUAAAAGUGAUUAAACAUCGUUUCAAAUAAUAAAAUAUAACUGAAUGAUAUUCAGCAUAUUUUACGUAACACUCUUGGCUAUAAUAUGUGAUAUAUAUCUUGUUCUAAUCUUACUAUAACGGUACAUUUCAAGUCUCUGAUUCAUUCUUGAAAAAUAUUACCAAACUAAGCUCUACUAUCUCAAGCAGGAAGCUGGAAAUAAUUAUUCAUACUUUUGUUUUUCUCCACUAUUGGGUUAAUAUAAUGGACUUCUCACAUGUUGAAGUAAAACUUCACAUUUUAAUCCAAAUGCUGCUGCCUGGCUUCCAACUAAAUUCCCAAAAGUUUUGACAUAUGACUUCCUAUUUUUUUCUAGUGCAAAUAAAUUGUAUUUUAUU